rnacentral:rRNA from 1 species
GUGGGGAAUAUUGGACAAUGGGCGAAAGUCUGAACCAGCCAUGCCGCGUGGAGGAUGAAGGUCCUCUCGAUUGUAAACUUCUUUUAUAUGGGACGAAAAUGGGGCUUUCUAGCUCAACUGACGGUACCAUAUGAAUAAGCACCGGCUAACUCCGUGCCAGCAGCCGCGGUAAUACGGAGGGUGCAAGCGUUAUCCGGAUUCACUGGGUUUAAAGGGUGCGUAUGUGGAUUGGUAAGUCAGAGGUGAAAUCUCCGGGCUCAACGCGGAAACUGCCUUUGAUACUAUCAAUCUUGAAUAUUGUGGAGGUUAGCGGAAUAUGUCAUGUAGCGGUGAAAUGCUUAGAUAUGACAUAGAACACCAAUUGCGAAGGCAGCUGGCUACACAUAUAUUGACACUGAGGCACGAAAGCGUGGGGAUCAAACAGGAUUAGAAACCCCUGUAGUCC